GCUUGUGGUUACGAAAUAUCGGAAAAGGGUCAAUGAUACUUACAAGACAAAAGGGCCUGUUUAUGAAAACUCUGGCAUCGAACUAGAAUGUGGAAAUUCAGCAAAUGCUGGCAGUGUCAGCAAGCAUGGAAUUGUACAAGCAUCAAACAGCGACACUGUGUUAAAGUCACUUGACUAUGAGGAUCUUGGAAGAGUUCAAGAAUCCGAGCAUGAAUAUGGACAGAUUCUUGCAGACACUGGAUUUCUUGAAUGACUUAUUACAGUUAGCAUACACGAAGAUAAAUGGUCAUCAACAAUCGUUUUAACUUGCAUUAAAAGUAUCACGUCAAUAGAGUAACAAUUUGAAUUAUAAACAAUGGACUGCAGUAUCAAACACAAACUCAUUCUUUAUUGUAUAGUGAUGAAUAUUUGUCUGAUAUUUUCAUGUGUCUAUUGUGAUUCUAAAUAUCGCACUAUUGAAGGUACGAACAGUUAUAACGGAUGUGCAUAAUAAAUAAAAUUAACCAUACUAGACUAUUUGUUUCUUUAGAGAAGAAGGGAAUCUACGAUCAAUUUAUGAAUACUCUCAAGUCUCUUUAUACGGAUUUAAAAGCAUGUGUCAAACUCAAUAACAAUGUCACUGAUUUCUUCUCAUGCAAUAUCGGCACCCGCCAAGGGGACAAAACAAGUUCGACAAUUUUGAUCUCAUUGUAGAUGAGAUGUCUGUCCUUUUACGUGAAAAUUGUGAAAGUGGUAUUUUUAUCACAAAUGAUAUUCCAGAUAUUUUUUGUUUGAUGUUUGCAGAUGAUGUAGCAGGGUGUGCCGAAACUGCAUUUAAGCUUCAACAGCAAAUAAAUAUUAUUGACAGCUUUUGUUGUGAUACUGGGAUGGAUAUAAAUAUGGAUAAGACUGAAAUUACGGUUUUUUCGAAAUGGAUGUCCUCUUUCGUCGAUAUGAGCACUGGUCGUAACGUGGGACACAAUCAAUAUUACCUCUCAGUAUAUAUCUCAGUACAUGGGUAUCUUACUUACAUCAAGGUUGUCAUGGUCAUCCCGCUCAUUCUAAGUUAGUAUCUCAGGCGCAAAGAGCUCUCUUUGCCAUAAAGGCUUAUCAAAGACCUUUUGGUUAGUUUUUCUGUUGUUGAUUCAUUUAAGAUUUUUGAUUCCAUGUUCAAACCCGAUACUUUGUUAUGCAUAUCAAAUUUGGGGCUAUGAAUAUGUAGAGACAAUAGAAUCUAUUCAUAAUAAAUUUUGUAAAAGUAUUUUAUAUGUACGUAGAACUACUUAUACAUGUAUGGUUCUUGGUGAAUGUUGUAGAUUGCCAUUGUGUACUACAUAUUAUAUAAAUUGUAUUCGAUAUUUGUGUAAUUGCCAUCCCAUAGACAUACAAAGCAAUUAUAUAACAUGUUACAAUCCCUAGAUGAUGCCGGUAGAAACUGCUGGGCAACCAAGAUUGGAACGCUUUUGUACAAAUAUGGAUUCAGUACGAUGUCAAUGCUUUUAUUAGAAUGUUUUGACAUAGAGUUGUUAAUCAUUGUACACUAGACUGGCAAACAGUUCUUGAAACCUCUAGUAGAUGUGAUAAUUAAAAUAACUUUAAAAGCCUACUUACUGUUGAAACAUAGUAGUAUUUGACCAUGGAUAUUCAGUUCAAGUAUAGAAUUGAUAGGUCAAUGUUUCGCCUUUCAAAUCAGGCUGAAUAUUAAAUUAGGUAGAAAUAAUAAUGUUCUAAAAGAAAAUCGUAUAUGUAACGUUUUGCCAACAGUCAAAUAAUGAUAAUACAAUUGAUUGUGAAUACCAUGCCAUUUUAAAUGUG